AGAGAGCUUUUCAGAUUCUCAUCAUCAUGUUCAGCCUGUUGACUGUUGUGCUGUUUGCUGCAGUAAUAGGUUUAUUAAUGAUAAACCAUAAACUAUCUAAGGAAAUUUCUGAAUAUGUCAAUGGUCGUCAGAUUUCUACUAUGAGGUUUCAUGAGAGUAACAGAGGAAAAACUGAUUCUGAAUAUCUAGAGGUGCUGCCAAAUAUCAGAGGUCCUGUAUAUGAAACCGUUUCAUACUGAGAAGUUGUGUUGAUUUAUUUCUGUUCGCUUCAAAUGAUCAGAAUUCUGUGCUGCUUGUUAAUGUAAAGAAGUAAUGAUUUGCUUUUGACUGUUCAUAAUAACACAUGACUAAAAUCUGUCAGCAAUUAAUAUGUCCAUCAAGUUUUAUAAUAACGUAAUGUUUUGAAUUGUUUGUUUAUGUCUCU